rnacentral:rRNA from 1 species
AUUGAACGCUGGCGGCAGGCCUAACACAUGCAAGUCGAACGAGUGGCGGACGGGUGAGUAAUGUCUGGGAAACUGCCUGAUGGAGGGGGAUAACUACUGGAAACGGUAGCUAAUACCGCAUACCAUCAGAUGUGCCCAGAUGGGAUUAGCUAGUAGGUGGGGUAACGGCUCACCAAGGCGACGAUCCGUAACUGGUCUGAGAGGCUGAUCAGUCACACGGGAACUGAGACACGUUCCAGACUCCUACGGGAGGCAGCAUGGGGGAAUAUUGGACAAUGGGCGAGAGCCUGAUGCAGCCAUGCCGCGUGUGUGAAGAAGGUCUUCGGAUUGUAAAGCACUUUAAGUGGGGAGGCGUUACCAACAGAAUAAGCACCGGCUAACUGCGUGCCAGCAGCCGCGGUAAUAC